UAGGGAAUAUUAGAAAUGGACGAAAGUCUGAUCUAGCAACACCGCGUGUGCGAAGAAGGCCUUUGGGUCGUAAAGCACUUUUUGGAAGGAAUAGGAAGGAAUGUACUUCCAGAAUAAGUCUCGGCUAACUACGUGCCAGCAGCCGCGGCAACACGUAGGAGGCAAACGUUAUCCGGAUUUACUGGACGUAAAGCGCGUGUAGGUGGUACUGUAAGUAAGGCGUGAAAGCUCCUGGCUCAACUGGGAGAGGCCGUUCUAAACUACAGAACUAGAGGAUGGUAGAGGGAGGUGGAAUUCCAGGUGUAGCGGUGGAAUGCGCAGAUAUCUGGAGGAACACCGGUGGCGAAGGCGGCCUCCUGGACCAUUCCUGACACUCAGACGCGAAAGCUAGGGUAGCAAACGG
rnacentral:rRNA from 1 species